rnacentral:rRNA from 1 species
UGAGGAAUAUUGGUCAAUGGACGAAAGUCUGAACCAGCCAUGCCGCGUGAAGGAUGACGGCCCUACGGGUUGUAAACUUCUUUUGUAUAGGAAGAAACCCCCCUACGUGUAGGGGGCUGACGGUACUAUACGAAUAAGCACCGGCUAACUCCGUGCCAGCAGCCGCGGUAAUACGGAGGGUGCAAGCGUUAUCCGGAAUUAUUGGGUUUAAAGGGUGCGUAGGCGGAAAUUUAAGUCAGUGGUGAAAGCCUGCAGCUCAACUGUAGAAUUGCCAUUGAUACUGAAUUUCUUGAAUCUAAUUGAAGUGGGCGGAAUAUGACAUGUAGCGGUGAAAUGCUUAGAUAUGUCAUAGAACACCGAUAGCGAAGGCAGCUCACUAAGUUAGUAUUGACGCUCAUGCACGAAAGCGUGGGGAGCGAACAGG